UAGUAUUUGUGAAGUGUCAGUACAUUUAGCCGUUGAUUCAGCAAAAAUUCUCGUUGGAAUACACACCAAGCUUAUGACCGAUGGAAGAGUGAAGACUACUAGCAGAUUAUCGUAAACUGAAGAUCAUUUGUUCUACGAAAACGAAAGUCGCUUUGGAAAUAAUGAAACGAAUGGAAUAUCUGAAGGCAUUCAAUUAUGGAACACUUGGCAAAACUCCUUAAACACGCUGCGCAGGGGUUAAAAUGAGCAGUACAAAAUGACAGGACUGAACAACAUCAAUAUGCAUUAAGCGUGACCUCCCCGCCAGCCGUUGACCGAGUCCUACAUAUAGCGCUCGACCACCGGGACGUCCGUCCUUUGUGGUAGCAUUUCAUUGCAAAGUUGAAGGACCCAAUAUACACAUGCAGGCGCACGCACGGCUGCGGCGACGGCUGUAGCUUGGGCUAUCUGUAUGAACUUUGCACCCGCCGGAACAUCACCGCAAUCCAAGUGCCCACCAGCAACAACACGCAGAGGAGUUUCCAGCGCUAGAAAUCGUCGUGGACCGGACUGUGGAUGACCCCUCGAUUGCGGAUAGGAAGAAGCGGUAAGUAGCGCAUAGCGGGGACGGCUGGAUACUCUGGGCGGCUAUGAGUGGCAGUGGCAUUAGCUGUCUGCCGCGAGUGUCAUGCCAUCCAUUGUGCACAAGCGAGUUGAGAAGUGAGAUUUGGGGACCCGUGUGGGACGGCCAGGAAGAUGGGGAUCAACGAAAUCGUCACGAUCCAUCAUGCAGCCAGCGGCAGCAGGGAAAAAGAGUUAGCCAGUAGCGAAAAAAGGGACAGGAAGUGUUGGCCUAUUUUCCUAAAGCUGGCUCUCCUUCACUUCAACGGCGAUAACACUAAUGGCAACAGCUCUCACUCAACUUCGGAAUCGUAUCAUGUGAUGCUACAUGCGGUCACACAUCCAGAACACAGAGUUAACUAUCGCUCAAUUCAUAUUUAGUAUAAGUAAUCACAGUUUCGAUGAACGACUGACAAAGCAUUCGGGCGUUCUUCGACCUAUAUGCAGAAGCAGGUCCACUAGACGAAAGAAACGAGUGAAUGGCUGUUUGUUUAUGUUGGCACUAUCAUAUUGAGGAAGGAUCGAUUUAACCUGACUGUAUUUUAGAAGGACUCAUUGAUGUCAAUCAUAUUAUGUGUAACUAUUAUUUCUAGAAUAAUAACUAUUAGCCACGACAAAUUGUUGUCGUUUCUAAAUUUGUCAUAGCUAGACCGAACACUUUCAAUCGGGUCGGUUCAAAAUCUUCUUAGACAGAGUAAACGAUCGCAAUGCGGUCAACGACCUGGAGACUAGAGUAAGGCCUUACCGUCUGCAUGAUUGUGCCUACAUACGGAACCUACCUCUUUCUUACCAGCUCCAUCAUGUACUUAAAAAAAACAUUCCGAUAAGAGCAAAAACGGUUUACGAAACAGAAGAGUUCUUAAAGAAUUCAUCAGUGUCGUCCAAAAUAAAAUGUCAUACGUCAAUAUGAUAAAGAGCUCCUUUUAGAAUGUUAGGCCAUUUAUAUGCAUGUUGAAAAAGGCCAUACGCGUCUCUCAGCAAAAUUGACCAAUGAAAAAUUAACGGACAACAAGUGCCAAUUUCUACUUAUGAUUACACGGAACACUACGAGCGAUCGAUUCUUCAUCGACAAGCAAGCUAUACAAACGUACCGCAGGUCCUAGUCUCAACAAUCUCGGUCGCCAGUCCAAAAUACUGGCAAUAAAAGGCUAAUAAGGUUAAACUGCCUAUCAUCAAAAGAACACUGUAUUGUGUAAGGCUGUCACAACCGGUCAGGUUUGCUCUUGGAGAAAUCAGCUCAAAAGAAGAGUAUUUUGGUCUGAAAAGUAGUGAUGAAGUGUUUCUUGCUCAAAGGUCCCAGCGCUGCGGAUAUUCACGGAAAAUUGGUGAAGGCGUCAGGUAAGAAAGCACAAAGCGUGAAUGGUAUAAACCAAUACGGAGAUAAUGUAGCAAGACUGCAAGUUGGGGCGUUGAAGGCUAGCGAGGAGAUGAUCACAUAUCGGGAGCCGAGGAACACGAAGGUGUUACUGCAAUCGAAAAGCCUUUUCGCGAAAGCAGACCUUCGGGUGCAGGAGCUUUGUCGGCUAGAACCGGCAUAGUACAAAUUUAUGAUUUAACUGAGUAAAACACGGGUUUCCCGGCUAUUCGAAGCCGGUUGUAAAUUUAUGCGUUAUAUUCCGCGUGCAAUUUUGACAAUUUUAGCCAACAAGAAAGUCGCCAUAGACCAGAUAUAAUCUAACGUCUAUUGACGGCCGGAGGGGAAUCACAAGGCAGAAUUGCGUUGCCUUAAAGAAAAGUCGAAUUUGGCGGCAGUACCGAGUAGGUUUGGACAUAAGGUAAAUGUAGACUCUACUCGACAUUAGGGACCUCCAUUACUGACAAGUGCUCGCUGAUAAUUGAGCAAUGAAUGCGGCCCGCUAUCUCGAAUUCGUCAAAAGAUUCAUGACCCCUUGGCACGGCAGUUGAAAGCUCAUAGUCUGGUUGCCUAAUGACAACGUCAGAUCUCCCCAAUUGCUCCGUGGAUUGUUUUCUACAUAAAAAAAAAUAGCUCGUGUUGACAAACGCAUUUCGAAAUCUGCGUAUGUUUGCGAAGUCUAGCGAAGAAUAUAUCUCUCGAAAUAUAUGUCAGCUCUAAGUAGAAUUCGGGAUCGUUUCAGAUGUCAAGUAACCUAAGAUGGCAUUCUGACACGCUGAUCAGAAUGUCUCCACGUUACACUUCAUUUUAAAGCAUGACAAUAAAAAGCAGACCUCAGAGCGUAUCUAUUACAAAAUAGUUCUAUUGUUCACUAGGACGUAUCUCUUUUGGCUGAACAACGAGCAGCGAACACGU
rnacentral:lncRNA from 1 species